GGAACAGUAGCAUAAUCAUAUUUGUAUCCUCCAUUACUUUGCGAUAGAGUCGUCAAUAUUCCCUGUGAGCUGGUGAGAACGGUGAGAAGCGCAGCAACGACGUACCACCGCAUAUCGCCGGAGAUUUGCUGGUGGCCUUUUCCCCGGCGAAUUGUAAAUCGGAAAUUUGCUUAGCGGGUUUUUUGCUUCUUCGAGAAGUUUUCCGAAGUUUCACACUGUCACAGUGUCACUCGGCGUUUCAGAUUUGGC
rnacentral:misc_RNA from 1 species